UACGGAGGGGGCUAGCGUUGUUCGGAAUUACUGGGCGUAAAGCGCACGUAGGCGGCUUUGCAAGUUAGAGGUGAAAGCCCAGGGCUUAACCCUGGAAUUGCCUUUAAAACUGCAUCGCUAGAAUUGUGGAGAGGUAAGUGGAAUUCCGAGUGUAGAGGUGAAAUUCGUAGAUAUUCGGAAGAACACCAGUGGCGAAGGCGACUUACUGGACACAUAUUGACGCUGAGGUGCGAAAGCGUGGGGAGCGAACAGG
rnacentral:rRNA from 1 species